rnacentral:rRNA from 1 species
GUGUCAGCAGCCGCGGUAAUACAGAGGGUGCGAGCGUUAAUCGGAUUUACUGGGCGUAAAGCGUGCGUAGGUGGUUUGCUAAGUCAGGUGUGAAAUCCCUGGGCUCAACCCAGGAACUGCAUUUGAUACUGGCAGGCUUGAGUGUGGUAGAGGGUAGUGGAAUUCCCGGUGUAGCGGUGAAAUGCGUAGAUAUCGGGAGGAACAUCAGUGGCGAAGGCGGCUACCUGGACCAACACUGACACUGAGGUACGAAAGCGUGGGGAGCAAACAGGAUUAGAUACCCCCGUAGUCC